rnacentral:rRNA from 1 species
UUCGUAGGUGGCUUGCUAAGUCAGACGUGAAAUCCCUCGGCUCAACCGGGGAACUGCGUCUGAGACUGGCGAGCUUGAGUGCAGGAGAGGAACGCAGAAUUCCAGGUGUAGCGGUGAAAUGCGUAGAUAUCUGGAGGAAUACCGGUGGCGAAGGCGGCGUUCUGGACUGCAACUGACACUGAGGAACGAAAGCCAGGGAGCAAACG